rnacentral:lncRNA from 1 species
GUAGCUUAUCAUGAAGGAGCUAAUCCAAUACAUUACAGGUGUAGAAAGGUUUAGAUGUAUCUUCGUCCUCUUAGAUAUUCUUACUCCAUGAAAUAUGCAAGUAUUAAGAAAAGAACUUAUAGUGAACAAUUAGAUAUAGAAAAAUAUAUUUUAUUGACUUACUCAAAAUGAUCUUUGUCGACGUAGAAAUCAAUUACUAUUUCAAGAUAUGAUGAAAGUAUAUCUUUCCCCUUCCCUUGAUAGAUGCAUCUCCAUGCCAAUCUUAUUGGCCUAUUCGAUGUCACCGAUCUUUCAAUAUCUAUCAUUGUACUAAAAUCUUGAAUAUUCUAAAAGUGAUGAAGUAUAAAAAAAACAUGAGACAAUGUUACAAAACAUAAAGAUUUAAUAGUUAAUACAUGAAAAAUUUAUAAACCUCUUUAGGGGGGAUGAAUUUUCUUGAUUCUUAAUUGACAGUCGCAGCUCUAUAAAUAUAGUAAUGAUAGGCUCUAAAAUUGAAGAUAAGUGAGCAUUUAAAUCACUCUCGAUUGUGACUAAGGUUGUGCUUCUUUCACCCAUGUUUCUCUCUUGUUAUUUCUUUCUUGUACAUUUAUAAAUUUUAGGAAGGUAGAUCUGACAUUUCCCUUCUCGAUAGGCUUUAUCUCACAAGCUCCCAUUUUCACUCACCUAUAUGAGGAGGACAUAUUUUACGGCAGUACAUUCCUUCUUGCAUUCAACAUCAGCCAUCCAAUUGAUGUGAUAAGAACAAACAUGUGAGCACAUAAUAAGCAUUUAUAUUACAAUAUGAAAUUAGAUCUUUGACUAUAAAUUAAUAAAAUUACCUCCAUAACUUUUGUACUAUGAGAGACAUUAGGGUCCACUUUGGCUGGAUGGGUCUCUUCACCUAUAACAGAAUGCUAUACCUUUACCUAAUAACAAAGAUUAUUUAGGUCAAAAAUAACAUAAUAUUUAAAAUUUGAUAUUAUAACUACAACAUCAUACUCAUCUCAAUAGAAGCUGCAUCCAUGCCUACAAUAUCAUCAGCUGACAUUAAAGCCUUAUCUCAAAGCAUCUUUUCAAUGCACAAAAGCUUUAUAUCGAAGAUAACUAUCCGUGCAUCUUUCGCUACGACAUCCUCGACAAAUUGAGGAUCUUUUAAGUAGAAAUUAUGAGAAAUCAAGGAUCUCUCAACCAUUACCAUGCAUGUCUCUAA